rnacentral:RNase_P_RNA from 1 species
UGAGCAAACCAGGCAGUCGCAUGGCAGAAGGGGACUCCUGUCAUGAGGAAAGUCCGGGCUCCACAGGACAGGGUGCCAGAUAACGUCUGGCGGAGGCGACUCUAGGGAAAGUGCAACAGAAACACACCGCCCGCCCUUAGGGCAGGUAAGGUUGAAAUGGUGAGGUAAGAGCUCACCGGCGGUUCUGGUAACAGGCCGGCCGUGUAAACCCCACCCGGAGCAAGACCAAACAGGGAGGUAAUUGUCGCAAGACACAGUGCCUGAAAGGCGGUUGUCCGCCGCUUCCCGAAAGGUAGGUCGCUCGAGCCUGCCGGUGACGACAGGCCUAGAUAGAUGAUUGCCAAAUACAGAACCCGGCUUAUAGGUUUGCUCACUUU